AAAUUCUCAAUAAAUUGCAAAUAUUGUGAGAUGAGUUAGUACUCUGGGCCAAGACAAAUGUAAUUUUGGAUUAUUAAGUCCACACGACAAAUGAGUGCUUAUUAAUUUUUAUUUAUCUUGUGUGAAUUAAUAGGGACCAGUGAUGGGAAAAAAAAAUAAUUGUCAUUCUACUCAUUCAUAGAAAAUAGCUGCUGAUUUGGAGAAAACUCUAAGAAACAGUAGCAUAAAAUCGCAGAAUGUUGAAGCUGAAACCUUUAUUUGCUUUAAUUCAACAAAUAUGUAUGAAGUAACUUCUCGCUUCUGGAAAUUCAAAAGUGUACAAGAAACUGUUCCAGUCCUCAGGGAGUUCAGAGUUAGGCAGGGGCAACAAUAGGAAUUGAUCAAGGGAUACAGUGGUAGGAGAUUACGGCAGGCUGCCGUUAACUCACUGUGGGGGCACAACAACCAGAGAAAGCUUUCAGGAGGAAGCUAUAUCUGAGUUGGGUUUUGUUGCAUGAAUAGGAGUUUGGCAGGAAAAGAAGUUGGGGAAAGGCACUCUUGUCAGAAAGAACAAGAACAUAGGGUUGUUAAUCCAUGAGCUGAGUUCAGUUAUCCAGCAGUCUAAAGGGGUAAAGUGGAGAGGAAGAGAGAGGGGUGGGCAGGGAGCAAAUCGUGACAGCUGAGCUGAGGCUAGGUCUGGACUUUUCCUCCAUGAUCAGGAGCCAUUAAAGGUGUAAAGCAGGAGAAAAACCACUUUGUUGGAACUAUGGGGGUACACCAGAGGAGGUAAGGCAGGAAUCAGGACCCUCUUAUGAGGAGGUUGCAGUGGACGGGGCAGAAGCCAGGCAGAGGUAACGAGAAGGGAGAAAGUGGAUGGGUUGUAUCAGUUUCUUUUUUGCUGCUGCAACAAAUUUUAGUGGCUUAAAGCAACACAACUUCAUUUCUUACAGUUAUGGAGAUCAGAAGUUCAAAGUCAAUUUACUGGGUUAAAGCCAAGGUGUCAGCCUGGCUGGUUCCUUUGGAGGCUCUAGGGUAGACGCUGUUCCCAGAUUGCCUUUUCCAGCUUCUGGAAUGCCGCCUGCAUGUCUUGGCUCAUGGCCCCUUCUGUCAUCCUCAAUCUGCAUUAUUCCAGUCGUGCUACCAUCAUCACAUCACCUUCUGUCUGACUCUGACCUUCCUGCACCCCUCUAUAAGGACUCUUGUGGAUAUUCAGGGCCCACCUGGAAAAUCUCGUCUCAAAGUUCUUAAACACAUUGGCAAUUUCUCUUUGCUAUAUGAGUUAACAUGCACAGGUCCUAGGGAUUAGGGUGUGGACUUAUUUGGAAGGCUGUUAUUUAGCCUAGUACCUGGAUACAAAGGACUUUGGGAACUGUAGCCAGUACAAUUUUGUAACUGACUGGGGAGAAGGGAGGUGCUAGUGGGAGAGAAACCUCCUGCGGAUACUGGUUUGGGCCGCAAGUGAAUGGUGGUGCUACCAGCUGAGAGAAAGAAGGAGGAAGAGCAGAGUUGGAGAGCAGGUGUAGGGGGUGGUGUGGAAUAACGUGCUCAGUUUUGAACACGGUGAAUUUGAGAUGUCCAGUAGGUCAUCAGAUAUGAGGAAUUCAGGGGAGAGGUCCGGGUGAGAAAGAAAUGUGAGUCAGCCAUGCACAGCUGGUAAUAGAAACUGAGGUGUGGGUACACAAUGCAGGGAGCGUAUAGAAAAGAAGUUUUUGAGCUUUAUGAUACAUCAGAAUUGCCUUGGCAUAGAGUUGGCAGGUUUCACAAAUGAAAGUACAGGAGGCCCUGUAAGGUUUGAGUUUCAGAUAAACAACAAAUAUUUUCUCAGUAUGUCUCACAUAUGGCAGGUAUCUCGCUUGACCUGCCUCUGCUUGUUUAUCUGAAAUUCAGACUUAACUGGACAUCCUGCAUGUUGCCUAGUGACUCUACCCUGGGAGCAUGUUAAAAACAAGACACCCUUGUGGGCCACGUUCCCAGGGGUUCUGGUUCAGUUGGUCUAUGGGGAGGCUUUGGAAUCUGUAUUUUAACACAAUCCCCAGGAGGCUCAGGGGCAGUUAGUCCUGUGAGACACUGAAGGAGAGUGAGGAAGGAAGAGGGCUCAGGAGCUGACCCCAGGAACCUCAGCACUGAAGGGCGAGGGAAGGAAGAAGCCAGCACGCCGGCCUGAGAAGACCAGACAGAGCAGCGGGAGGAAAACCGGCCCUGGUGGCCUCAUGCAGGUGUUGUGGGGAAGAGCGUCAGUGCAGCAGGAAGCUGUAAGAGGCCAAAAGUUGACAAUGUGGGGUCAGUGGUGAGUGUGGCAGAUUCAUGGAGACCUCAACAUUCUUGUUCAUUGAAGUUUUCCUUCAGUCUGGGCUGUAGCCAGGACACAGUAAUCAUGCCCAUAUUUCUCUGCCAAUAUGCCUCUCUGCCUGAGGGCUUUCCCCAGCACAGCUUGGCUGCUGGCAGGCAUGACCCGGAAAUUCAGGAGUGCAAAUAUGCCAGGACAACCCUCACCAAUGGGGCAUGCAAGCUGGUGGACCAAUGGCUCAGCCUCCCAGCUCCAAGAGCUCAGUCCACUCAGUUUCUCAGAGGGGACUCAGAGGGAUUGAGCCUCAGUUGCCCACAGUGGUGUCCUGCUUAUUAAUUACACUUGGUUAGCUUCUCUCCCCUCCCUGUCUCACACUGUCCCUGCCCCUCCAAUUCCCAUUCUCUGGAACCACUUCUCAAUUAUACUACAUGCACCCAGGACCAUGUCUCAGGGUCUGCUUCUGGGAGGACCAAAACCAGGACCUUGGAGAUUUCUGUUCUCACGGCAUCAUAGGGUUGAGCUAAGGGCAUCAGGCAGAGGGGUGGGAAGGGGGGCGACGGUCCCCGGAAGGAGCCAUGAGGCAGGGAAAGGCUGUCUUCAGUGAACCCCAGCCUGCCCUGGGUUCACCUCUCCUCCUUGGCAGCCUGCAUUCCCUGGUGCUUAUCUCAUGACCCUGGUUCCGUCAGGCCCCUCUGCAGAACCUCCUUCUGGGAUCUCAGAACCCUGGUGGGCCGUUUCACUGGGACGCUGCCCUCUUCAGCCCUGCUAAUGAGGGCAUGUAUCCAUCCCCCUUCUCCUUUGCAGAUGAUGAUAUUCUUCCAUUUCAAAAUGGUCCUUCAAUAUCUUAGAGAAGGAAGGAGAUGAAGCUUUCCUGAGCGCUGCUCUGUAUACAACUCUGCUGCUCUGUUGACAACUCUGCCAUCUCGUUGAAUCCUCACACCACCAUGAAAAGUGAUUUUUUUGGGCCAGGCGUGGUGGCUCAAGCCUGUAAUCCCAGCACUUUGGGAGGCCGAGGCAGGUGGAUCGCGAGGUCAAGAGAUCGAGACCAUCCUGGUCAACAUGGUGACACCCCGUCUCUACUAAAAAUACAAAAAAUUAGCUGGGCAUGGUGGCGCAUCCCUGUAAUCCCAGCUACUCAGGAGGGUGAGGCAGGAGAAUUGCCUGAACCCAGGAGGCGGAGGUUGCGGUGAGCCGAGAUUGCGCCAUUGCACUCCAGCCUGGGUAACAAGAGCGAAACUCCGUCUCAAAAAAAAAAAAAAAAAAGUGAUUUUUCCCAUCUUUCAAAUGAGGACACUGCAGCUCAGGGGAGUUGAGUCACCUGCCAAGGUCACCCCUUGCAGUAAGUGGUGGAGCUUGGACGCUGGUCUGUUGCCUUACCAGGCUGCCUACACAUGACAGGUAUUUGAGGAUGACACCCACGUUCAACCCGGCCCUUUUUCCUGUCCAGGGCCUGUGAUCACAUUUUCUUUAGAUGACACUUCAAGGGGCACAGCUCCUGAACUCUCACCUCUUGGGUGACAUUCUUGGUCUGCCUUCCCAGUGAAAUGUAGCACCCAGGGUUGGUAGCUUUCCAAAAGAGCCCUGUGCCAGUUACCUCUGCUGACCUGAACAUGACACCUCUGUCUCUGACCCCAGGAUCAUGUUAGCUUUUGAAACAGCCACUGUCCUUACAUGGGCUCAUAUGAAGCUUUGGAGUUACCUAAAACCCCCAGGUCUUUUUCACAAGGCCUGUUGACAAGCCAGGAUGCUCCUGGGACAGUUAAUCAUUUUGGUCCCAAAUGCAGGCCUUGACAUUUGUUAGGACUGUGGAUUUCAUGCUUUGGCCUAACAUUACAACAAAGAAAAAUGCAGUAGGUGUUGAUUUCUCUAGACAGCCAUUGAUUGCCAGUUAAUGAAUUUAUAUUUGCUUGUCUCAUAUUUCCAAGUAGAUUUUUUGUUCCUUGAGGGCAGAGGGCAUGCUUUCCCUCCUCUGCAUUGCCUACAGGGUCUGGCACAAAGGUUGCAAACAGUAGGUAUUCCGCAAGUAUUCCUAUUGCCUGAUUCAGGGAAAAGACUCUUAAUCCCUCAAUCCUGCCCUUCUCGGCCUCAGCUUCAGCUCUGGUCAGCACCACUCUCCCAUGGUACUACCUACAGCUACACGGAGCACCCCCAUCUGGAACACUUCCGGGGAGUGGCUUCUUACAGUAGCUGUGGCAGGCAAGAUGGUGGAGUGAAGGAAAGAGCACUGGGCCUGGAGAGGAGAGACCUGGCUCCGAAUUUCAGCUCCCGCAUGAGACUGUGUGCUAUUCCCUCACUUGUAAAAUAGAGACAAUGAAAACAGGUUAUACGUAUUAAAUCCAUACUAUAAAAUGUGCUCCAAUGUUUAUUGCCCAUAAUCUCAACCCAGUGAGUUAGGAGAAUAAACAUUUCCAUGUUUUAGAUAAAAAAAUCUGAAAUUCAGAGUAGUUAAUUUGUUUGCUCAGGGUCACAAAAGUAGAAUGCAGAACCGGCAUUUGAACCCAUGCCAUGUGCUGUGCUCUUAGCCACUGGGCAUCAUCAAUCUAUCACCUCAUAGAUGAUUGCACAAGAGAAUGGCAACUCGCUGGUAAAGUGCCCGUUGCCAUGCCUGGCACAUAGCAAGUACUCAGUGAGUGCUACCUCUCUCCCCAGCUGCCUCACCCCUUUAAUUUUUCCCUUGCCUCAGGUAGAGCCAGGAUGGAAAGCUAGACGUAGAGGAGAUUUGCUUUCAAUACAGUCAAGGGAGGAACUUCCUGACAGUUUUGAGUCCUCAGAGAGAGACCUCUGUUCUUGGAAUAAGAGAACAGAGCCUGGCCGUCCAGCUGUUGGUGGCAGAAUUCCUGUCUUGGUCUGGAGGAGGAUGGAGUCAUCAUGGGGGGGUUGGCUGGGGACCCUUGGGCCUUUGAAGAACAAAUUCCUUAGUUCACAGGGCCAUCCUGAUCCCUCUCCACCUUUCUCACACAUGAUCUAUCACCACGUGAUGUUGUUAUCACGUGGUGGUAUCACCCACCUGCCCUGGCAUCCUUCUACCUGCUUCUCUCCAGGACACCAGCGGCUCUCCUGUGGAGCCUGACAUCGGCCAUCUAACUGAGUGCAUGACCUCUCUCAAUUGUCAAUCCACACAGCACUCUGUGGGUCUUCCUGAAAUAACGAUGUGCUCAUGUCUCGCCCCAACCAGGACCCUCAAGACCUUUCUAUCUGUAGGUAAAGGUGCUAAGGGACCUUCAAAGGUCUUUCUUCCAGUCGCCUAGGCCCUCUCAGGGACCCCAAAGCCUUCAGUAGCCUUUGUAUGUGCUUUUCCCUCAGUCUGGGAUCCUCUUCCUCCCUCUGUCUCUGCUAACUUCUUCUUCCCCUUCCAAGCCUGUGUAUUUCCUUUUCCCGGUAGCUGGCUUUAAUCACUCCUUUUCCUCUAUCCUUGCCCCAAGUGACAGAGCUGGUCUCAUGUCAUCAGAGCCCCAUCUCUAGGACCUAGAACUGACAUACACUACAAGCUUUUCUUGAGUCCUCCAGGUGCCAAGCAAGACUUGGCCAGACCCUGAAAAUGCAGAGAUAAAUAAGCCAUGUUCCUGGGCCUGGAAGAGCUCUUCAGAACAGCAUGGAGUGAUGUGUUGGCUAAGUUAAGCUCAGGCACUCUGGGGAAAGGUGUACAAGGAAGACAGAUAAUCCAGACUGAGGGAGUCAGAGAGGGCUUCCUGGUGGAAGAAGUGCUUAAGUAGAGCUUUAAGGUCUCAGUGGGGGACAGGACAUCAAGGAAACAAAGAGAAAAGGUGCUUAACUAGAGUCCUAAGUGUUAAGCACUGCAGGAGGACUGAGCUGAGGUCUCAUGGCCCUUGCAGAUGGCUGCCAUGGCAGGCAACUGGGAAGGAGUCUCUUUGGAGUCUUCCCAGGUCUCUGGAAGGGCAGGAGUGGGGGAUGCACAGGAGCACUAGGUUUGGAGGGACAAGAGGGUAAAGAGGCUGGCGAGGAAUCUGUUUGAUCCAGUGUCCUUGCGGGAGCCCUGAGUGGAAGUUGCAUAGUGGGAAGGGCAUCCGAAGUGGAGGGAACAGCACAAAAAGGCCAAGAGACCAAACUGAAUGGGCCAUAGUCAGUGGGACAAUGAGGACAUCUGGCCGGAGUGUGGAGAAAGAGGAGGGAGGGACUGGUCAGCUGGAGGAGGUUUCCAAGGUGACUGCACCUGAAAGUCAGUUAUGGGCCAGACCCUGUGCUAAGUGCUCUUCUGAACAUUACUUUUUAUCUUCCCAGCAGUCCUGCGCCAGCCCUAUUUUACAGAUGAAAGCAUUGAGACUCAGAAUGGACGAAGGACUCGCUCAAGACCACGUAGCACCGACCAGAGCCUUGUACAACAGCACAUUUCAUCUCGAUCCUUUCCUCAAUCUUUUUGGAAUACCCGCUUUGUGCCCAGUCUUCUUCUAGGGAUCCAUGAGAUGAUGAGAGAAGGAAACAUCAUCCUGGUCCUGAGAUGACCCGUCUAAAGGGUGAGUGAAUGGCUAGAGGGGAAAGGUUGACAUCGGGGGCUUUGCUGACGAGGAGGCAACAGCAUGAGAGGAAGCAGCGAAUGGGCCCGGAGUGUGUGUGAUGCACUGAGGACUUCAGGUUGGGAAACUUAAGCAGAAGCCUGGGGCUAGGGCAGGCAGAGAGUACCAAGUAACGGGAGAUUGAGGUGCAAAGGUAGGUUUUUCUCUUUCUGUGGUUGACUUGGCGCUUUGAUGUUUUCAAAGAAGGGCACUUCCAUGGUUUGGAAAUAACUGUGGGGGCUCCAUCCAGCCUGCUGCUGUCAGGACAUCAGGAUAGACAGUGUUACUCAGUGGAAAGGGAAUCUGUGGGCAGGCUGGCUAACCUUCCUGGGCCUCAGUUCCCACAUCCAUAAAAUGGUGAUAAUGACACCUACCUUGAGUUUUGUGAAGAUAAAUAGCUUAAACUCCUGUGCAGAGGGCUGUUAAGCAUUCAUCCCAGAGUCUGGCCUCCUGUAGAUGCCCACGCAAUGUUCACCCUCUCCUACCUUGCCACUGACCACUCUAGUCCGCCCUGACUUUACUAGGUUAGCUUUGAACCUCAGUUCUCCCCACGGUGAAAUGGGGACAGUGUGAAGCAUGGAUGAAAUAUUAGGCUCUGUAGAAGUGCGGUUUUGAGCUCGAAGGGCCCAGAUGUUUGUUGAUCGAAUGAUUGAUUAUAGCUCCCUACACCCACUGUAAUACUGAACAUGGAAGUGGGAGCACACAGGAGGUACCUAAUAAAUAACCAUGGACUUGUAACAAAUAUAAAAAGAACCUGAAAGAGUGGAAGGUGGGUGACACCCUUUCCAAAGCAAAGGAGACAGGUAGAUGCUGGGACUGGGCUGAUGAAAUCUGCACCAAACCUCCAAAUAUAUUCAGAAUCAGGAAAUUAGGAGACAACAGAGGAGGCUGCCAAAAGGAAUUUAUCUCGGAAGUGGAGCUUGGGGAAUAGCACUAAUAUUUUCGGAAAUUGAAACUCCAACCAUGAAAUUGCCUAUCAUUUAUCAUACAUGGUCUCUCAAAGGGGAAAUGGGAAAGCAUUUAGUCUUAUUGCUUUUUAAACACAUGAUUGCUGAGCAUAGCCAUCCAGGCUGAGGUUUUAAGAGACGAUGUGUCUGAAAGAGUCUGGCCAGCAAGUCCCUCCAACCUAAUGCAAGGCUGCUCUCUGCAGACUCUCCUCUGUCAAGCACCUGGAGCCACAUGUAGUGAGGGUGCAACCCAGGCCAGGCUUGGGUGACUGGGUGUGGUGCCAAUGCUAGCAUUCAUAGAAAACUCCAAGUCGGAAUUUCCCCCAGCUCCCUCUUGAUGCCCAAUAGCUAUCUCAGUAUUAAAGUCAUCCAAGCUUCUUUGGAAAGGGUCCCACUGAUGGUUUCCACUUUCAUCUCUGUAUUGACGCUUAUCAAAUUUCUCUCUCUUUCCUAGACCUACCAGGGAUUUCAGGCCUCUACAUGCAGCCACCACCCAGGUCUCUCCACCUGAAAUGCCCAUAGGUUCAUCAAAUGCAACAUGCUUGAAUGGCAGACACCAUCCUCCCAAGUUUCCUGGCUUGGCAAAGGGUAUCACUGCUGCCUUGAGGGCUAGAACAGACUCUGAGGCACUGAGUGAUGAUCAUCCAUGUGUGUCAGCGGUUUGAAGGUGGCAUUCUGCUAUCACAUGGCUAAUUAUAGUUGAUCUCCCAACACGGGGCAGGUUCAGAGUAUGUACUGGUGGAUCUGAGAUCAGCGAAAGGAGGCUGGGGGUUUUCUGGAGCAGCUCUUGGACUGAUGUCUGUUUGAAAUCAUAUGGGAAACAGGAGGUGGGCACAGACUAAAGUCCUCUCAAGCCACCCUUCUGCUCCCAAUAACCUUAUAAGGAAAGCAGGGAAGGAACUGUCAAAUUUGUAUUACCAUCCAGAGACAAAGAACCUGAGUUUGCGGGCGACUGUGCAACCUAUUCAAAGCCAGGGAGCCGGAGGUGGUGACCGUGAGAUUCCCACCAGGCCUCCUGAUGACCAGCAUCCUGUUCCUUCUCCUGAACAGAGAAGUGUCCAGGACAAUGGCCAGUACCCUUGACAGGGAGUCAGAAGAUAUGAGUUCUCACUCCUGCAUGCUCACCAAAAAUACCUAGCUACUGCCUGCACUGCAGUCCCUGGUGGGCCUCUGGGAAGUGGGGGUGUCUAUGAAGCAGUACCCCCUGCAGCUCUACACUCUUCCUGGACAGGGUGCUCUCACCGCUGGCUACGGUAACCAUCUCUGUGCUGACACCAUCUGGACCCCCAUCUUUAACCCAAUCUCUAGGACACCUCUCUUUGGAAACCCUACAGGCCCCAAUCACUAAGUGAAGUCUCACUCUGUCACCUAGGCUGGAGUGCAGUGAUGUGAUCUCGGCUCACCGCAACCUCCCGCCUGCCCUGGUUCCAGUGAUACUCCUGCCUCAGCCACCUGAGCAGCUGGGAUUACAGCUCAAGGCCCCUCUCUGUGGAGCUGCCUCCUUUCUCUCAAGAAGGAUGCCUGGAGCUAGGAGGAUGCAAGGAUGCAGGAUGCAGUUUCUGUGCCUCUACGGCCUCUUCUGUGUCCACCUGUGCGGAACCUGACAUGUCACAGUUUUCUGGGCGACCUCUCUCCCAGCCUUAGUGAGCCUCUACAGGACAAGAAAGGUGGCAACAACAACAAAAAAAGCUCUUUUUUUUUUUUUUGAGACAGAGUCUUGCUCUGUCACCAGGCUGGAGUGCAGUGGCGCAAUCUUGGCUCACUGCAACCUCUACCUCCUUGAUUCAAGCAAUUCUCCUGCUUCAGCCUCCUGAGUAGUUGGGACUAUAGGCACACACCACCACACCCAGCUAAUUUUUGUAUUUUUAGUAGAGAUGGGGUUUCAUCAUGUUGGCCAGGAUGGGAUCAAUCUCUUGACCUCGUGAUCCACCGGCCUCAGCUCUGAGUGCUGGGAUUAUAGGCAUGAGCCACCAUGCCUGGCCUGGUUCAUCUCUUUAAUGCUGUGGUUUGACAAGGAAAAAAACACAGCUCCUCAGUAGCUGUUUACUGAACACAGGAUUCCAAAAUCCGAGCCUGACCCAGAAGAGAAGGCGUGGCCCCACUUCACGGAACUUUCAGUCUGUCUUGGUGGCACGGGUGGACCAGCCACUCCAUUCUCCAUUUCUGCCUUCCUAGGUGACUCCACUUUUAUUUAGGGCAGCAAGAGGCACCUCUUAAAAAGUAAACAAAUAUGGAUGAGCGAGAGAGAUCCAAGAUGGCUGAUCACUAACAGCUCAGGAUUGUAGCUCCCAGUGAAAGCUCAGAGAACGAGAGGAUGCCACACUUUCAGAUGAAUUUUCGUCACUCACGGACCAGCAGAUUUCUAGUGGAGGAGCCCCACGGGUCACCAGCAUGACUUUUGUGGCCAGCGCAGCGGUUUUGCCGGCACCUUGGCGCGGCAGCUCUUCAUGCAGAGUAAACGGGACUGGUUCCCUUACUGACCAGUGUUUGGAGCUCCGGGAAGGCAGAGCCGCUUGUUGCGGACUCAAGAAGGAAGCCAGACCAGAGAUUCCCGGGCAGAAGAGCACCAUCAGUCUUAUCGCUGCUAUUUUGGUCGGCGCAGUGGGUUGCUUGAAUCCCAGCACUGGGAAUCAAUAAAUUGGACGUCGACUGAGAAACCUAAUUAGAAAGGCGGUAAUUAUAAAGAUGACAGAUGGAUAAAUUUAUAAUAAAGGGAAAAAACCAGCCUAAGAAGGCCGAGCAUACCCAAAAUCAGAACCCCUCUCCCUCUACAGGGGAUUGCAGUUUCUCAUCAGCAACGGAACAGGCCCUGAUGGAAAAGGACUGUGUUCCAUUAUCUGAAGUAGGCUUCAGAAGGUGGAUGAUAAGAAACUUCUGGGAGUUAAAAGAACUUGUUCUAACCCAAUAUAAAGAAACUAAGAACUUUGAAAAAAGGUUUGACGAAAUGCUGAAAAGAAUAGACAAUAUAGAGAGGAAUAUAAAUGAACUAAUGGAGUUGAAAAAUACAACACGAGAACUUAGUGAAAUAUGCACAAGUUUAAAUAGCAGAAUGGAUCAAGCAGAAGAAAGGAUAUCAGAGGUCGAAGACCAACUUAAUGAAAUAAAAUGACAAGACAAGAAUAGAGAAAAAAGGAUGAAAAGGAAUGAGCAAAGUCUCCAAGAAAUAUGGGACUAUGUGAAAAGACCCAAUCUACGUUUGAUUGGUGUACCUGAAUGUGAUGGAGAGAAUGAAUCCAAGCUGGAAAAUACUUUUCAGGAUAUUAUCCAGGAAAAUUUUCCCAAUCUAGCAAAGCAGGGCACUAUUCAACCCCAGGUAAUACAGAGAACACCACAAAGAUAUUCCUCAAGAAGAGCAACCCCAAGGCACAUAAUCGUUAGAUUCACCAGGAUCGAAACGAAGGAGAAAAUACUAAGGGCAGCCAGAGAGAAAGGCCAGGUUACCUAUAAAGGGAAGCCUAUUAGACUUACAGCAGAUCUCUCAGUGGAAACCCUACAAGCCAGAAGAGAGUGGGAGCCAAUAUUCAACAUACUUAAAGAACAGAACUUUCAGCCUAGAAUCUCAUAUCUUGCCAAACUAAGCUUCACAAUUGAAGAAAAAAUAAAAUCUUUUAUGAACAAGCAAGUACUCAGAGAUUUUAUUACCACCAGGCCUGCUUUACAAGAACUUCUGAAAGCAGCAUUAUACAUAGAAAGGAACAACCAGUAUGAGCCUUUCUAAAAAUAUACCAAAAAGUAAAGAGCAUCAACAUAAAGAAGAAUUUACAUCAACGAAUGGAUAAAAUAGCCAGUUAACAUCAAAUGGCAGUAACCCUAAAUUUAAAUCGAUUAAAUCCCCCAAUCAAAAGAUACAGCCAAAACCUAAUGGUAUAUCCAAAGAUACACAAAGACUCAAAACAAAGAGUUGGAGAAAAAUUUACCAACCAAAUGGAGAGCGAAAAUAAAUAAAUAAACAAAAAGCAGGAGUUGCAAUUCUCACAUUUGAUAAAAUAGAUUUCAAAGCAACAAAGAUACAGUGGUAAAAGGAUCAGUGCAACAAUAAGAGAUCUUAAUACCCAGAUACAUAAGACCCAUAACGAGAUUUAGACUCAACGAGACAGAAAAUUAAUAAGGACAUCCAGGACUUCAACUCAGAUCUGGAACAAGUAAACUCAAUAAAUAUUUAUAGAGCUUUCCAUUUUAAAUACACAAAAUAUUGAUUGGCCAUUAUUAAUACCCAUUUUUAGAAUGAAGCAAUAUAUUCCUGUUCUCUCUCCCUCUUUUUCUUCCUCUUUCUUCCUCUCCUUCUCUCCUUUUUUUACUUUUCAACAUCCUAGUUCCUCACCUCUACUCAAUACAUUCCUCUGAACGCCUGAUUCCUUGUGAUUCUCCUGUCCCACUGAAACCUCCAGUCCAAAAAAAAGAAGAUAUAUUAGAUUUUAUCAAAAGCAAAAAAAAAAAAAAAGAAAAAACAAACAAAAAAAACAAAGUAUCAGCUGAAUUGGCUUCUUCCAGAGCCCUUUCCUUGGUUCACAGAUGACUUCUUCUCCCUGUGUCUUCAUAAGAUUUUCCUUCUGUAUCCACCUGUGUUCUAAACUCCUCUUCUUAUAAGGAUAUAAGUUAUAUUGGAUUACAGUCCAAAAAAAAAAAAAAAAAAAAGAAAAGAAAGAAAAUGGAUGAGCUCCCAGGCAGGCCCCAUUUUGCCCUUUUCCCUUCCCAGUCCUCCUGUCUGGAAUCCUGAUGAGAUGCCUGCAGCUGAUGCCCUGUGAGCAGGAAGGAAGAAGCCACAACAGGGAUGGUGGAGCAGGUGGGGAGUAGGCACUGGGGACCCUGUGCGGGAUGAGAAGUUUCUAUUCUAGUCAAAAGGUACUUGAAGCCACUGCAGGCUUUUAAGCAGGGAAGUGGCAUGGCCUGAUUUUCAUUAUACAAAGCUGACCCUGGCUGCUGCUUGGUGAGGGCAGUAGGAGGGAAAUAGUGAAGGCAGGGACCUGGUCUGAAGGGUCCACCCUCCUUUAGUCUAGAGGAACCAGUUUCCAUAGAGAUGCCCAUUGUCCUGGCUCUCACGGUCCCUUCAGAGCCCAAACAUUGCUGGAAACAUUGCCCAGGAAUAUGAUGCCUGGGGCCACAGAGAAUACACCACACCACCUUUGCCUGUCCAUUUUUCAGAUGAGCAGUACUGAAGCAGGGAGGCCUAAGGCUGCUUAGCUCUAAAAUAAUGGUUCACUCAUCCAGUGUUUCUAAUCUGGGCUUAAUCACUUGUGGUUAGAGAGGGAACCCCACUUUUGGUCAGGAAGGGGUGGAUGCUGCAGGUAGAGGAGGGCAUCACUGAGGCCCAGGAGUGAGACUUUAGUCCAACAGUGAAGUGGUGCUGGCCCAGAUUGGGGUGGCUGUGAAGAGAUGGAGGAACGUGGACAGACUGGGGUGUGUGUUGGGGGUGGGAUUGUCAGGGACUUGCUGAAUGCUUGGGUGUGUGGGAUGUAGAGAGGAAUUUGAGAUAACUCUGGGAUAUUUUGCUUAAGCAUGAAUGGGUGGUGGUACCAUUGACAGAGGUGGGAAGUCUAGGGAGCAGGGAGGAGGAGCAAGUUUGAAGGAAAAGCCAAGAGUCUAAUUUUGGCCAUAUGUAUUAAUUUUGAGAUGGCUCCUAGUUAUUCUCCCACAGUGGAAUGCACUCCCACAGUGGAAUGCACUCCCACAGUGGAAUGCACUCCCACAGUGUAAUCCACUCCCACAGUUGAAUGCACUCCCACAGUGGAAUGCACUCCCUCAGUGGAAAACACUCCCACAGUUGAAUCUGCUCCCACAGUGGAAUCCACUCCCACAGUGGAAUGCACUCCCACAGUUGAAUGCACUGCCACAGUUGAAUCCACUCCCACCGUGGAAUCUACUCCCACGGUGGAAUCCACUACCACAGUGGAACACACUCCCACGAUGGAAUGCACUCCCACAGUUGAAUACACGCCCAUGGUGGAAUCCACUUCCACAGUUGAAUACACCACAGUGGAAAGCACGCCCACAGUUAAAUACACUCCCGUGGUGGAAUACACUCCCACAGUGUAAUACACACCCACGGUGGAAAACACUCCCACAGUUGAAUUCACUCCCACGGUGGAAUACACUCCCACAAUGUAAUACACUCCCACGGUGGAAAACACUCCCACAGUUGAAUCCACUCCCACAGUGGAAUCCACUCCCACAGUGGAAAACACUCCCACAGUUGAAUACACUCCCAUGGUGGAAAAUACUCCCACAGUUCAAUACACUCCCACGGUAGAAUGCACUCCCACAGUUGAAUCCACUCCCACAGUGGAAUCUACUCCCACAGUUGAAUAUACUCCUAUGGUGGAAUCCACUCCCACAGUGGAAUCCACUCCCACAGUGGAAUACACAAGGAGUGGCCGAGGACUGGAGAUGGAGGCAUCCAGUCAUGACAGAGACCUGGAUUUUAUGCAAUUGGAUGGAAUGAAGUUAUCUUGGGACCAUUGGGAAAGAAGAAAAGAAAGAAGUCCGUGGAUUUGCCCUGAGAUUAUCCUGCACACAGAGGGUUGGACAUGGAAGCAGAACUGGCCAGAUAGACUGAGAAGGAGCGGACAGGGAGUAGGAAGAAACCUGGAAGAGAAAGGAGUGGAGGUCAUACACAAAGCACGAUAAGAAGUGGGAAGAGGUCCUGCAUCAGUCACUGCUGAAAGGUCAAGUGAAAGGAAGAGAACGUGGACUGGACACACAGGGAUCAGUGGUGACAUGAUAAAUGCUGAGUCAGCUAAGCCAUGAGGACAGAAUGCCCACCAAAAAGGUGGAAGCAGGAACCACAGAUGAUUUUUUGAACACUUUUUGCAGUGAAGGGGAGCAGAACAUUUAGAUGGAAGCUGGAGAGAGAAGAGGAGCCCAAUGGAGCUGUUCGUGUAUUACAGGAGAUCCUGAAGAAGCCUGCUGUGGAUGACCUAAUGGAGAAGGAGGAGGGCAUGUGCAGAAAGAUGAGGUACCUAUGGUUCAGGUGACAGAAGUGGGAUCCAAGACCCACCUGGAGGGAAUGGCCUUGGGCAGAGCAGUGGCCUUCGUCCACAGGAGCAGGAGGCAGGCUGCCAGCUUUCAUGAUGGGAAGAUGACCUUUGUGAUUGAUAGUGUUUUCUGAACAAAGCAUGAGGCAAGUGAGGCUGGGGUGGUGAGGGGUGUGGGGAGAGGAGAAAGGCUGAGAGAGUUGCUCUAGAGAAGGAAAGUGCACACCUAGGCCACAAGACAACUGUAGCAUUGCUGCAGAGCAAUGCGGGGCCCGGUUGAGAUGCCAGGCUAUGAAUUUAGAGGAAGCCAGUUUGUUUUUCUCUACCUUUAUUUUGCUGCGUGGGUGCAGGCAUUGAGCAGGUGGGUGAUUGGAUUUAACCAAGGUUGGACACGGUCUUUAAGUCUGAAGAAGUAAGGGGAGAAGAGAAGAUGAAAGAUGGAUGUAAUGGCAGAGAGCUGGCGGUGGUGACAGAAGAGGGUGAGGGGUGGGAGGGCUUGGCGAGGUGGAGGGAUUGCUUGUCAUCUGGAAGGAUAACAGGUGGUCACCCGGUGGGAUGCUUGAAGUGGAGACCGUGUGGGUGGCGCAGUUUUCACAAUGGUACAAGGUGUGAUGGCCAUGGGAGUAGGUGGGGAGGAGGAGGACAAAUGGCUGGACCAACCUGUAGAGGGACAGAGAAGCCCCAGUGUUGGGUGGAUCUGCAGAGUGGAUGUUAAAGUCACCAAAACUGAUGACAGGAUGGGGUGGGGAGGAAGACGGGGCAGAUGUGUCAGUUGAGUCUGUGAUGAAUGCGAGGUGCAACCCAUGGGCAGUGGUGAGAGGUCAAGUCUGUGGACAUGGAUUCAGAGGGGAUGGGGCUUUGAAAGGGAUAAGGGAGGGCAAAUGUUUUGGGAAAAGCAAUGGCAGGGUCUGUGGGGGUGUGGGAGAGGAAACGGGGAACUGGCGUAUUGUGGGCAGCUGAGUGUCAGUUAGGACAAGAGUUCAAAACAGAAGCUGAGGGUAUGGGCUGCUUGUGAUGAUAGGGCCUGAGCCUGCAGCACCGAGAUGGGGUGCUAUUCCUGGAGGCUGGACGUCUGUUUCUGUGGGAGGCUUAGAUCCCACAUCCCUGUGGUUUCCAGUUCCUCAGAAGCAAAACGAGGUCACGGUCACUUGUGAGUGGGUGAUAGGAUGCUACAGGAUGAGGUGUGUGGGCUCCACCCUGGGCUUGCAGGAGCUCUCUAGCUGUGCAAGGCUGAUGGGCGUGGAGUGCCCAGCCAGGCAGACCCACCAGUUGGUAGUAGGAGGCUGAUGGCCUCACUUGCGGUGGGAGGCUCUGCCCUCCACGCUGUCCAAGUUUUGCAGGUAAGAGAUUAAACGCAUUUCGAGGGUGACUGAGCACUGGUCACUGUGCCGCAGCUUGGCAGGCACCCAGGGCACAGGUGUGUGGGUAAUUGUGAUACAUGGGAAGAGGCACAAAGCUACCAGCCCUGGGCUGGCCUCAGGGGCAGGAGGAGAGAGGGGCUGGGCAUAGGUGGGACAGGGAUGUUACCUUCUUGCAAUGGGAAGACACCUCAGGGCAUAAGCCCAGGUUGGCGAGAACAUUUGCAUUUCUUUAAAUGAAUACCAGAGACAGAGGAAACUCAGCCUAAAGGUGCCAAUUUCCAUAGAGAUGCCCAUUGGCCUGGCCCUUAUGUUCCCUUCAGAGCCCAAACAUUGCUGGAAACUGCCCAGGAAGAGAGACCCGGAGUGGCCUAAGGCUGCUUAGCUCUAAAAUAAUGGCUCACUCUCCCAGUGCUUCUAAUCUGGGGCCUAAUCACUUGUGGUUAGAGAGGGAGCCCCACAUUGGGUCAGGAAGGGGUGGAGACUGCAGGUGGGGAGAGCAUCGCUCAUGCCCAGGAGAGAGAAGAGGCUUCCUAGCGGAAGCGGAUCUGAGCAGGACCUGGGAGGAUGAGCUGGAUUUGGGGAGCUGUGAGGAUGGGCAGGGCCUUCCUCGGGGAGGGAAUAGAAGGGACAAAGGGGUGGCAGUGGAAGAGCCAGCAUGUUGCUGGGACAGUGAGGGGUUUCCCAAGUCUGUUUCCAGGCUGCAGAAUUAACCGUUCAACUUGACUGCUUUUGUACAGCUUGAUUUAGGUGACCCCUUAGGCUGCUGUCAGCCCAGCUACCUUCUUUAGACUCUAAGCUUGUUGGCUGGAAGGGAAAGAGUGUUCAUCUGGUCUGCCCAGGUGGUCUCACUUAAUCUUCUCAUUAGCUCCCAGGAGCAGACCCUCUUGGCUCUAUUAUGUAGCUAAGGAAGCUGAGGAGCCACUGAAGGCUGAGGGUUUGACCCCAUCCCUCUCACUGCCUGCAGGGCUAUGGACAGAGCUAGGAGCAUGCAUUGUGCCGUCCUGACUGAGCAUCCAGAAGAGAGAAGGCUCAGAUGAUCCCAAGGGCAUCCCCUCAAAGUCUGAUGGCCCUCUGCCCCUCUUCAGGGCUGCCUUGCAGAACAGCAGGAAGAGCUAUGAAGUCAGAAGCCCAGGCCAGGACACCAGCCCUGCCCCUCGCUGGCUGGGCCACCUUGAACCAGUCAAUUCCCGCUCAGCCUCUGUUGCCCAAUCUCUAGCAUGAAGUGUUGGGCUGAACGAUCUCCAAGUCCCUUCAGCUCUAUAAGCUGGGGCCGCCAAGCGCCUGCUCGAGGCUGAGAACCUGGUUCGUGCCUGCCUCUGAACCUCCCCAGCCAUGGAUUUGAUACGUGGAUCUCCUCCUGCUCAAACAUGUCAGAAGCUGAGACCUGUCUCAUCAUAGCCUUAUGCCGGGGGGUAUUGUCUCAAAUGGACUCACCUGUUGGUCCCAGCCCCAGCCCUCAUGAGCCUUUUAGAUCUGCAUUCCCCAUGGAAAGCAGACGUUCACCCAGCCAUGCAUGUGAUAGAUCCACCGGGGCUCUGAUGCUGGCAGCUAUGAUUGACUGAGUGCCUGCUAUGUCAGACACAUUCCAUAUUUUGCAUCUGCACACACUUCCUGCCAGGAAUGGAGUUGUUUCCCUGUUAUGCUGUUGAAAAUCUGCAGCCCAGAAAGGUUAAGAGACUUGACUAAGUUCUCACAACUUGGAAGUGGAAGAGUGGGGAUUAGAACCCAGAACUCUGUGACUUCGAAGCCUGUGCUCCUGCCAUGUGAUGUGUCAGUGAGAUGCCCGUUCCUGGCCGGGUCCUAGGAUCCAGAGACAUCCCAUCAGUCACACUACCCAGAGGGCACUCUCAGCAGCUUCUCCUCCUCAAGCCUAGGAGUCUACAAUCCUGGUCUAUUCCCUUCCUGGGGCCCCUCCCCAGAAAGGACAAUCACACCCACUGAGUGCACUUUCUGUGGCAUUGUGUGGACAGGGGCCUACCUCUCUGGUGUGGGCAGGCAGGCGUGUGCUACUGUCGUCUCUAGGCAGCGAUCGGAUGAAUAACUGAUGGUGAUUAGCUAAAUCAUAACAUCGCUCAUGCCAUGCAUAAGUGAUGAGCCAACUGGUGCCAGGCCUCGAUGAGCGGCAAUGGGCACCCCCACCUCACCCCCCAGCCCGGAGAAGCCACCACUGCGCUGCCUCCCUGUGUUAUCUGGCACAUCAAGUGCUGCGACAAUGAAUAUAGAUUGACCUUAUUAUAGCAGCCGGCUGCUGGUGCCAGGCGCAGCCAGGCAUACUUUGCACAAAUUAAAGGUGUCAGCAUGUAAUUUACGAUUCAUGGUGAAAAGGGGUAGUGGGGGUCGGGGAGGCACUGAGACAGGUAGAAAGGAAGGUGGGCUGGCUACAGGGCUGGCACCAGGAGCCCGGGCGCUAAUGACAGGAGGCACAGCCGAGGUGUCAUUUUCCUCCCGGUUUGCUCAUUUUUAGCUAUUUCUUGCUCAAGGCGGGGGUGGGGGGGGCAGCCCCCUCUCCCAAGCUCUCCCCGACAUGCUCUGUGUGCACGUGUGCGUGUGUGUAUUUUUCAGCUAAAUUACUGGUUUUACCUGAAGAGCGUAAAGUAGGUGUGCUGAUUUACGGCUCGGCAGAUAAAGCCGCAGUGUGCGGAGCUGUCUGGGAAGCCUGUGAUCCGACAUCAUUUUACUAACACACCCGAGAGCAGCUUGACACGUCGAGUCGGGCCUGUGAUUAAAGCUGUAGUCUUCUUUCCCCCUCCCUGUCUCUUCUCCAACACGGAGAACAGAUUAAACUCUAAGUAAUAGAUCUCGGUUUUCUUGCCAUCCCACUGAUAUACACAGUACACAGUUUGACACAAAGAGUAAGUUAUACAUCACAAACAACAGCCUCUGCUCUUUACCGCCCAGAAUGAAUUUUCCAUUUGCUACGCCUCCCUCCUCUCCAAGCCCAUUUUCCUGUCCAGCAGGGUUCUCUCCUCUCUUGAAAAGGCAGGGGAGGAGAAGUGCAGGUCAGGCCUGGAAGAGGUGGCUCAGGACAGACAGUUUAACCCCAACGGUUUAAGGAUGAGGAAACGGAGGCCUGGAGUGAAGCGACUUCCUGAUGUCACCCUUUGUGUCUGUGGUAGAGGUGAGGCUCAAACCUGUCUUCUGAUUGAUGAGCCAGGCCCCGCUCCCAUGCUCAGGCAGCAGAGGCUGCCCAAGGAGCUGCUUGUUUGCCCUGCUCUUCACUGCAACCUGCCAGGCAGACUGUCUCUGCUUCUCUGCCCUGCUCUGCACCCCAGGAGGGGACCUCUCGGGGCUGCCUCUCUGGCCACUGCCUGGGCUUGGCUGGCGGGAGGUACCAGAAUGAGAAGCAAUGGUGGGAGGAGAGAGAAGCUGGGCUAUUUCUCCCCUGCUUCUGCCUCUGGGAUGCAUGUCUCUGGGAAGGGCUGCCUCCCUCUGUGACUGUGCUCCUGUGGGGCGGCCCUCCUCCAUGGCUCCCACUCCUGCUGGCCUCUGGCCAUGCCAUCCUGCCCUGCCCUGCAGGUCUGGGCUGGGGGCAGCUGUCAGCUGCUCUAGUCCAGGAGCCUCCCCAUCCCUUUCGGAUUUCCUUACUCCUGCCACCUCAGUCACCAGCCCCUCCAUCUGUGUCUCUUCAGUUGAGCCACCUGGGGGAAUUCUGCUUUCCAUGGGGACCCUGAGUGACACUGGGGUGGACCCAUUCUUUAUUGAGGACCCAUGCUGAUGACCAUCUGCCUAAAGGCACACGCCAGAAGGAAGGGAUCCAGACCACCCACGGUAACAUGCGUCCCUCUGGGAGAGUCCCCCGGCUUGCUUUCCUGGCCGCUGACACCCCUUCCCAGGCCUCACGGCAGGUGCUUUGUAUGCCACCUCAGGGGAGCCUCGCAUGUGGCUCUGUGAGGCAGGGUCUGGCUAGGCCUUCUAAGGGAGGUGGAAAUGGAGGCUCAGGGAGGCUACAUCUCUUCUCCAGGGUCACCCAGCCUUGGGCAGCAGAGUCCAGUUCCAAAUGUGGGGCUAGUUCGCUCCAAUGCCAAGCAACUUCCUCUGUGCUGUGUAGGAGGUUCGUCUUGCUGAGCUCACGUAGAACACACACACACACAUGCAUGUGUGCACACCCAGGCACGAAUGACCAAAUGCUUUUGAGGAACAGUAAGAGAGCAUGGGCAGGGGGGCAGGACCAGAAGUGAGGACGGUUAGAUGUGGAAAGUAGGGCUGGGUAAAUCCAGGAGGGCAGUUUGGAGGAGGCAAAUAAGUUCUGGAGAUAAAUGGAAACUACAUGGAAACACACAGCCAGGAGCUUUCUAACCACGCCUCCAUAGACUGACUGCACUGAAUCACCAG